CACGUAGGGCGCAAGCGUUGUCCGGAAUUAUUGGGCGUAAAGGGCUCGUAGGCGGUUUGUCGCGUCGGGAGUGAAAACUCAGGGCUUAACCCUGAGCCGGCUUCCGAUACGGGCAGACUAGAGGUAUGCAGGGGAGAAUGGAAUUCCUGGUGUAGCGGUGAAAUGCGCAGAUAUCAGGAGGAACACCGGUGGCGAAGGCGGUUCUCUGGGCAGUACCUGACGCUGAGGAGCGAAAGUGUGGGGAGCGAACAGG
rnacentral:rRNA from 1 species